GAGAGCGAGAGAGAGAGAGAGGCAGAUAAAGAGAGAGAGAGAGAGAGAGAGAGAGAGAGAGAGAGGAGUGGAGCAGGAGUUGGGUAAAAGGGGCUGAAGUCCUGCGUCUUCUACUCCGCCGCCGCGAGGAAAAGUCUCCUCAGCGCCACAGACCGAACCCGGGGCCGAGCCGUGUUUUACACCGUCAGUCGUUGAGUCGGUGAACCGAGCCAACUGACAGCGACACACCCUGCCGGAGCUCCGGGACUCCGCCGAGGAGGAAGCCCCGAACUCCGCCGGGUCCGCCCUGGAUGAGCUGUCGGCUGCCCGAGCGACCCGGCCGCCGGUCAAGGAAUCUGUGUUAGCAGAGGAAGGGAAGAGGAGUCGUGCCUCGUCCCCCGUCACCCCGGGCUGUCUGCUUCGAGCUCUCACGCUCACUGGUCGACUCCCAGCGCCUCCCAGCACCUCCCCUCGGCCCCCGAAUGGCUGACGCACAGCAGUUCUUCACUGGCGAGCUUUAUGUUCCCGUACACAUGCUAAAGCUGCCAGCUGAAGAACUGUUCUGGUCAGCCCUGCCCCGGACGACUCGAGGAGAGGAAGCUGACAGCUGAAAGUUUUGGUGGUGGGGGGGGGGGGGGGGACUGAGGAAGGAGGCAAUUUCACAACACUCAGUAGUUAAACUGGACUUUUACAACCAUUGUCUAUAUUCAUGUGCUAAUGAGACGUAAGGUAUAUUUCACUUUAGUCAAACUGGUAAACUGAUAUAUUAACCCUGGAGUUCAUGUACUUAUGUCCUAUUCAUCUGCUGUAAUGUAAGUUUUUUUAAAGUUUUCAUGUGUGUUUUGGGGCAAAUAGUCAUUUCAAACCUUCACAUUCCUCAGCUAAUAAUUUCCGUCCCUCAGUCUCGUAUUCAUUUGUAUCUUCUGUGAUAAUAAACACGUCUUGAGAAAUCCUAAAUGUGACGUUGUGAACUCUGGAGAAACUUUGUUAUUGUUCAUGUUUUGUUUUUUUGUUGCUUUCAAUAAAGACCAAAAUAUUUCCUCAGA